rnacentral:rRNA from 1 species
GAUGAACGCUAGCGGCAGGCUUAAUACAUGCAAGUCGAACGGGAUUCGAGGUAGCAAUACUUUGAUGAGAGUGGCGCACGGGUGCGUAACGCGUAUGCAACCUACCUUUAACUGGGAGAUAGCCCCGAGAAAUCGGGAUUAAUACCCCAUAACAUUACGAAUUGGCAUCAAUUUGUGAUUAAAGCUCCGGCGGUUAGAGAUGGGCAUGCGUGACAUUAGCUGGUUGGUGAGGUAACGGCUCACCAAGGCAACGAUGUCUAGGGGUCCUGAGAGGGUUAUCCCCCACACUGGUACUGAGACACGGACCAGACUCCUACGGGAGGCAGCAGUAAGGAAUAUUGGUCAAUGGGCGCAAGCCUGAACCAGCCAUGCCGCGUGCAGGAAGACGGCCCUAUGGGUUGUAAACUGCUUUUAUCAGGGAAUAAACCCCCGCUCGUGAGCGGGGCUGAAGGUACCUGAGGAAUAAGCAUCGGCUAACUCCGUGCCAGCAGCCGCGGUAAUACGGAGGAUGCAAGCGUUAUCCGGAUUCAUUGGGUUUAAAGGGUGCGCAGGCGGAUUGGUAAGUCAGGGGUGAAAUCCCACAGCUCAACUGUGGAACUGCCUUUGAUACUGUCAGUCUAGAGUAUAGUUGAAGUUGGCGGAAUGUGUCAUGUAGCGGUGAAAUGCUUAGAUAUGACACAGAACACCGAUCGCGAAGGCAGCUAGCUAAGCUAUAACUGACGCUCAUGCACGAAAGCGUGGGGAUCAAACA